rnacentral:misc_RNA from 1 species
GAAAUGCGAUAAUUAAUGUGAAUUGCAGAAUUCAGUGAAUCAUCGAGUCUUUGAACGCACAUUGCGCCCCCUGGUAUUCCGGGGGGCAUGCCUGUCCGAGCGUCAUUGCUGCCCUCAAGCACGGCUUGUGGGUUGGGCUUCCGUCCCUGGCAACGGGGACGGGCCCAAAAGGCAGUGGCGGCACCAUGUCUGGUCCUCGAGCGUAUGGGGCUUUGUCACCCGCUCCCGUAGGUCCAGCUGGCAGCUAGCCUCGCAACCAAUCUUUUUAACCAGGUUGACCUCGGAUCAGGUAGGGAUACCCGCUGAACUUAAGC